CAUCAGGACUGCCUUAGAGCUCCUGAAGGAAGCACUAAACAUGGAAAGGAACAACCAGUACCAGCCACAGCAAAAACAUACCAAAUUGCAAAGAACAUCAACACUAUGAAGAAACGGCAUCAAUUAACGGGCAAAAUAACCAGCUAGCAUCAUAAUGACAGGAUCAAAUUCACACAUAACAAUAUUAACCUUAAAUGCUCCAUAGGUUUUUCUUUAUCCUUCUGAAGUUUCUCAUUGCCUACCUCUUAUAGAAAGUAGAAACAGGAAGCAGAAAUAAAAAUGAACUAAGAAAUAAGGCAGUUUGAGGAUGCAGAAGGUAAAUACUCUGGCAGAGAACACAUUAUCCUCUUAUUGGAAAUGGAAGGAUAAGAAAGGAAUACCGGAGUGCAUCACAGGUUAAGCUAACUAAAGAUGAGGGCAAUGACUUGUCCAUGGUCAAUAGCAUGGGAGAAAAGUAACAUGGAGACUUGCCUUCUUGUGACCUUUUGAACUCAGUACACGAACGCCAAGAUGACAAUAACCUGAGUGGUAACCAGAGAGAGUGAUUAUAGGUGAGGCAGCUGUUAGAAGAAAAAUCUAUCCCAAUAGAGAAAGGGCCUUCAGAAUCAUCCCCAGGGUGCUG
rnacentral:lncRNA from 1 species